GCGCGAAAACUUUACAAUGCGGGGAACCGCGAUAAGGGGACACCGAGUGCCAGCAUCCUAUGUUGGCUGUCCAUAUGUCUAAAUCACAUGUGUUAGCAAGGGCCGGGCAAGACCGGUGCCAGCCGCGGCGGUAACACCGGCGGCCCGAGUGGUGGCCACUAUUAUUGGGUCUAAAGGGUCCGUAGCCGGUUUGGUCAGUCUUCCGGGAAAUCUGACGGCUUAACCGUUAGGCUUUCGGGGGAUACUACCAGGCUUGGGACCGGGAGAGGUAAGAGGUACUACGGGGGUAGGAGUGAAAUCUUGUAAUCCCUGUGGGACCACCAGUGGCGAAGGCGUCUUACCAGAACGGGUCCGACGGUGAGGGACGAAAGCUGGGGGCACGAACCGG
rnacentral:rRNA from 1 species